UUGUACAGUAUUAUCGAACGAGGAUGAGCUCUGUUUCUGAGGGCCAAUAAACUAUCAGGAAAAACAGCUUCGAGUGAUGCAGCGUUGCUGAGUAUCAGGUCCUUGGCAGAUAUAAACAAGUCUUCUUUUAUGACCUACAUAUGAAGGAUGCCCGUCAUCCGUUGGCACUGGACAUACGUUGAUGUUGCUGUAAGGCAUUAAAAACUGCAUAUGUUUGAGAGAGUGGAAAAAGGUGGUUCCCGAGCAGAGAUGCCACACAUAAAAACUUCUCUAUCUUAAAAUACUUCCUACAUUGGUUCCAUAUUCUGAAGAAUAGCUGUGGGGAUGUUUUUCAGCGGCUGGAACU